GCGCAGACCUUUUCCAGCGAGGCUCAGCCUGCAGUGGCUCUGUUCUUUCCUGUAGUGUCUGCUAGAGAGAAGAGAGGCUGUUUGAGGCCCAGCCGUGACUCUUUACGGCCGGGUUAUAGGUAAGCCUCCGACAUUU